CUCUAAGACAGAAGCUUUGCUGCUGUUGGGAAACAGUUUUCCUAAGAACCCAUCAGAUGGCCUAGAAUGGACACGUGUAAUUGAAGAACAUCCUUAUGGUGGUGAUGCUCCCAAGGGGCUUUUCAAACACCUUGGUAUUAGUUGAUGCAAUGCAUGGACCACCUCAUGGGAACUCAGAUUGUGAUCCCGUACUGUGUCAAAAGGAAGGAGACAAGCGUGACAGAGAAAUCACAGUGGUAAGAGAUGCACAGACAGUGGUCCCGAAGGGGGCAGACAAACCAGGAGAGCAUGGCUGAGCUGGAAGUAGAAGGGGACAAUGGGCAGAGAUCUUGCAGUAUUGCAGACAUACAAACCAAGAAUUCCUCCUGCUGCAGGUAAUCUAAGCAAAGCACAAAGGGGAAGUUUCUUGCAAAAAUGAAGGCUCCUUUGGAUAUUGGCAAAUGCAGAUUAAAAAGCAUGAAGAAGAAAUACUACGCUUGCAACGUGACUUCAUGAUAUAAUCCCUGAAUGUGCUCGUGUUGGCCUGCAGAGGACAGAAGCAGCAAAUAUCACACAUCAGAAAUUCCUUCCAAGCUACGAACCUGACAUUCAUGAAGCAAAUCAUCAGAAAAGG